rnacentral:lncRNA from 1 species
AAUAUAUUCAGCAAAAAUGUCUCUCCUAUUAAAGAAAAUUUCUCAUAUGAAGUAGUAUUAUCCAGUCAAAGCCCCGCACAAAAAUCUUCUUGCAUUAAAAAAUUAAUGCAAAAAAGUUAUACUGUGGAAUCUCAGAAGGUGUCGGUUCCUACUUCUUCAGAAUUCUGUAAUACCAGAAGAUUAUCAGCAUCACCAGUGGAUUUCAGCAGUAGCAGUAGCAGUAGCAGUGGAUUUCAGCAGUAGCAGUAGCUUUAAAUCUUUGUAUCUUGCAAUGAAUGAGAACUUUUCAACUAAUGAUACAGAUACAAUGAAUAUAUCUGUUGCAUCAUUUCAAAGGUUAUGUCAAACGGCGUCAUGAGUGAGAACAAUUUAAACGGGAAAAUGGAUAAGUUGUCUUUUCGAAAGACAAAUACAAUGAAGUUAAUCGUCGCAACUGUUGCGAAGUCAAAGAAAUAUACAGAAAAAGAUAUCAAACUUAGUAUUGGUGUGACUUUAAAACACGCUCCAUUGCGAAAAGGUGGUUUAAAAAAUCUAAGUAAUGAAAAC